rnacentral:rRNA from 1 species
UAGGGAAUCUUCGGCAAUGGGGGGAACCCUGACCGAGCAACGCCGCGUGAGUGAAGAAGGUUUUCGGAUCGUAAAGCUCUGUUGUUAAGGAAGAACGAGUGUGAGAAUGGAAAGUUCAUACUGUGACGGUACUUAACCAGAAAGGGACGGCUAACUACGUGCCAGCAGCCGCGGUAAUACGUAGGUCCCGAGCGUUGUCCGGAUUUAUUGGGCGUAAAGCGAGCGCAGGCGGUUAGAUAAGUCUGAAGUUAAAGGCGGUGGCUCAACCAUUGUAGGCCUUGGAAACUGUUUAACUGGAGUGCAGAAGGGGAGAGUGGAAUUCCAUGUGUAGCGGUGAAAUGCGUAGAUAUAUGGAGGAACACCAGUGGCGAAGGCGACUCUCUGGUCUGUAACUGACGCUGAGGCUCGAAAGCGUGGGUAGCAAACAGG